UAGGCACCAAGAGAAGAGUGGGAAUGCCUCACUCUCCCCCAUUUGCUAUAAAUGAGAAAUCACUGAAUACAUUGGUUGCUCUCUACCUGCCUCCCAAAUCUCUCCAUUAUCAUAUCUGCUCUCUCCGUCUCUCUCUUGUAUCAUAUUUGCCCCCAGAGAGAGAGAGAGAGAGAGAGAGAGAGAGAGAGAGAGAGAGAGAGAGAGAGAGAGAGAGAGAGAGAGAGAGAGAGAGAGAGAGAGAUGACAAGAGAAGGUGAGUGUUGAGCAAGAUGGAGAAGCAGGGCACGUGCAUUACUAACUCAUCCCAUCCUCCCUCUCUACAUCCAUAGAGAUAUCGCACAUACAUUCACACACACACAUUCAUUCGCCAAAUGCACGCAUAUAUACAUAUAUUUUUGGUGCGAUCCAGUUUCAUUUCUCUACGUGCAUGUAUAUACACAUCAACAUGAUGCCAUUUGAAUCUCUCCCUCUAUACAUAUACACCCAUAUAUUGAUAUAGCUAUAUAUAUACACAGACUAAUAUAGAGACAGCCUUAACGGGUACAUAUCUAAAAGACAAUAGAUAUGCAUAUAUAUACACAUUUAUAGGAUAUGCUCUGAUGAUAAAAGUGAUGUAGGGGUUUUUUUGGUCUGAAAGUCACGGGGGUACAUGAGGGUCAAUAUAUAUAUAUAUAUAUAUAUAUAUAUGUCCGGUGGUUGUUUGGUGUGUGAAUGAGUUGGUUGUUCAUGUGCCCAUCUUCCCCAUCAUGACCACACUCACCUUGGUCACUCCAUUACAUAUCCAUUUCUCCCUCCUCCCUAUAUAUUGUAUCUAUAUUCGUAUACAUGUGUAAAUUAAUGUACAUGCACAUGCGUAUCUGUAUAUAGAAAAUGCGUGUCUAAUGUACACGUCUAUAUAUGUACAAUGAAGUUUACAGAGUAAGCACACUCCAUGCAAGUGAAGCCUCCCUCUCGGAGACAUCGGGAACAAAUGGGCCUAGGUGUUAUCAAUCCGGUGUUUGAUGCACUGUAAUCAAUUAGCUCCACCCACCAUAUAGAUUACUGUAAAUAAUUAAAUAUCACUGCCGGCAUUUUUUUAUUGGAUGUGAUUAUUAAUGGAUUGUAUACUAUUUAAGCAAAAGAAUAUUCCUCAAAUCAUAAAUUGUCUCGUCGGUAUUAUCAUUCCCAAUUCGUAUAAGUUCGUCCUUCCAUGCCAAUUUUAACUACAUAUAAAUGUGUGUGAAUGACUCAGAUACGUACAUGUACAUGUACAUGCACAUGCACAUGUCUAUGAAUUAAGCAGAAUUCAUGAAUCUGGGGGAUAUGGGUGGGUGUGUGCGUGCAAUUGGACAAUAACAUAGAAUGCAUAAUUUUAAAAGAUUAUAAGCUCUAUAAGCGGUUGCGCAUGCGCUGAUUUCUUUCUGUUGUAUUCCUUAUAUAUAUAAAUCACAAUAAUAAUGAUAAUGAUAUAUAAUAUGCAAUGUAAUUUAUUUUGUUAUGGAAAACCAUAUAUUUAGUAAUUUAUAUAUUUAUCUAUGAGAUGUUUGGUAAAACAAAUUAUGCUUAAUAUACAUAUAUACUUACAUAUAUAUAUAUAUAUCCUUUUGUACUGUCUCUAGCUCUCCUUGGCGGUGCCGUUAAUUUAAUUCAAAAGGGGAAAGGGGUAUGGUUGUCUUUUCCAUCUCGUACAGGUUGUCAUUUGACACCAAUAUCCCAAAUCAACCCCCAAAAGUCUCAUUAUUAUAUUAUUUUUUCUUUUAUUAUUUAUCGUUUAUAACUUUUUAUAUACGUAUAUAUAUUAUAUUCAUUAUAUAGUUGACAAUGUCCAUUUACACUUGUAUCUAUCUGAUCACUAUUUAAGGCAAGGCUUGCAU